UUCCGUUAACGAACGAGACCUUAACCUGCUAAAUAGCUAGGCUUAGCAUUGCUAGGUCGCCAGCUUCUUAGAGGGACUAUCGGUGUUUAACCGAUGGAAGUUUGAGGCAAUAACAGGUCUGUGAUGCCCUUAGAUGUUCUGGGCCGCACGCGCGCUACACCGAUGAAGUCAACGAGUUCAUAUCCUUUGUCGGAAGACAUGGGUAAUCUUUUGAAACUUCAUCGUGCCGGGGAUAGAGCUUUGCAAUUAUUGCUCUUGAACGAGGAAUCCCUAGUAAGCACAAGUCAUCAGCUUGUGCUGAUUACGUCCCUGCCCUUUGUACACACCGCCCGUCGCUACUACCGAUUGAAUGGCUUAGUGAGGCCCUCGGAUUGGAUUCGGGGACUGGAAACAGACUCCAUUUUUGAAAAGUUGGUCAAACUUGGUCAUUUAGAGGAAGUAAAAG
rnacentral:rRNA from 1 species